ACAUGAGGUUUUAUGAUUCGGCUUUAAGGUAGGUAGAUGAGUGAUGAUUCUACCACUAAUUCUCACUAAACACUUGUGCACAUUACUUUAUUUUGAAUGAAUAAAUGAAACAUAUUGGUGAUAAAAUGCACUAAUAUCCACUCUUUGUAGGCAUGGAGUUGAGAAGAUCAAAAGAUGUAGAUUGGAGCUUAAAAUGAUCAAUAGGGAGCCUGAAAAGUGCAAUUGAAGACUUGUAGUAGAAAGGCCUCAGAUACCGUGGUCGCGGUUUAUAGACCAUGAUCGUGGCAGUCAAGCAGAAGUCAUCCAACCGCGAUUGCGGAAGUUACCCGCAGUCACGCAACCGUGGUCGCAGGUAGACCCGCGUAAUCACGGCUUAGUACACUGUCACAUAUACCCCCAACCAAGAAAAUAUUAUUUCUAGUAUUG
rnacentral:lncRNA from 1 species